GGCUCGAGCUCCUAUGGGCAAAAAUGAAAGUAAUGCAGCUGUCAAGAUGCCACUUAUUCAACAAAAAUUGCCUGCUAAGAUCAGCAUCAUCUAAUUUUUGCAGAGGCGAAAGUGAAAAUCUGACAAAAGCGUCAACGAAAAUCAUCCCUAGCAGAUGGAUAACCUCGGGCCCAUCAAAAGUUAGAACUUUAACAUGCCCUCAAAACAUUGAUGGGGGAUUCAGCAGAGCCCCCAUUAUUGGUCGGUUUAAAGCAUUUCUUUUCCGUUUGAAAUAUCCAGAAUUUAAGUUUUGGGACGCUGUAGAUGGAUGCAAAGAGGUAACUCCACUCGUUGGUGAUUUGAUCGGGAGUGGCAAUUUUAAUAAACUUGAAGUUAUGGUGGAUAGUGAGGUACUUCAGUGUAUUAAAAAAAAAAAUUCAUCUUUGGUUUGUAUUGCAAGAGUUAUCUCUCUUUUCAUUGUCAACAAAUUAAUCCAAUUUCUUCUUAAAAUUUUGAAUUUUAAGUAACAAAAUUGAUCAAUUGGAGGACUUAUAGCUGAGAAUCUAAGCAUCAGUUUUAAGGGGCUUAUAAUCUUUACUUUGGUAUUUGACAAAUUUUCUACUGAUCGUUAAUAAGAAUAGUAUGUAUACAUAUGCAUGCAUGUACCAUGCAGUGUAUAGAAAUUAAUCCAUCAAAUCAAACACAUUUUCAAAUCAUGAUAGACAAAUGAUAUAAUUUUGAAAUAGCCAAAUUUUCUUAGAGAAGGAAUUUAGAUUUAAUUCCCAAGUUGUGAACAAAUCUUGAUUUAUUUAUGAUACCACAUUUCAGCUUCUGAAGUGCCUAAUGGUGAACAUAGAACAGCAACCUUGGAUUAAGACUUUAGACUUGGGAGAACCCAACACCAAAUUCUGUUUUUGGCAUUCAUUUUGGGAAACAAAGAAUGAAGAAACUGGGGCAUUGAGGAUAGCUAUAGAAACGGCACUUUAUAUGAACUGGGCGGAACCCAAUGUCGUUGCUGUAGCUCAACAUUUUGUAUUUCAACGAUAUAUCACUGAAGAUAACGACCAGGACUGGAUCGUAACUAAUUACAACCUCAUGAGAAUGGACAAGUGACACCUCGGCCUUGCUGAUUGAUAUUGAAUUUUUUUUUACUGGGAGGCAGAAAUGAAAAAGAAAUCUGCCUUUAUACAAUAUUAAAGUAUAUAUCUGUCUG
rnacentral:misc_RNA from 1 species